rnacentral:pre_miRNA from 1 species
UUUUUAGUAUAAAUAUAUACCAUGUAAGAGUUGGGACAUACUUAUACUAAAA